AGCAGCCGCGGUAAUUCCAGCUCCAAUAGCGUAUAUUAAAGUUGUUGCAGUUAAAAGCUCGUAGUUGAAUUUUAGGCCUGGCCGGGCGGUCCGUCUUUGGCGAGUACUGUUCUGUGUCGGGUCUUACCUUCUGGUGAACCGGAAUGUUCUUAAUUGGGUGUACCGGGGAGCCAGGACCAUUACCUUGAAAAAUUAGAGUGUUUAAAGCAGGCAUUUGCUUGAAUAGAUUAGCAUGGAAUAAUAGAAUAGGACGUUGGUUCUAUUUUGUUGGUCUAGGACCACCGUAAUGAUUAAUAGGGAUAGUUGGGGGCAUUAGUAUUCAAUUGUCAGAGGUGAAAUUCUUGGAUUUAUUGAAGACUAACUAUUGCGAAAGCAUUUGCCAAGGAUGUUUUCAUUAAUCAAGAACGAAAGUUAGGGGAUCGAAGACGAUCAGAUACCGUCGUAGUCUUAACCAUAAACUAUGCCGACUAGGAAUCGGGCGACGUUAUUUUAUGACUCGCUCGGCGCCUUAUGGGAAACC
rnacentral:rRNA from 1 species